ensembl:lncRNA
AUUUAAAUGAUUGUGCUCUGAUCUUACAUGAGUAAAAGGAAUAUCGAUGCUGAAGUGACUACCAACCAAGGGGACACAGGGGAAAGAUAAUGAUUUUUACACCCCCAGGGGGAGACAAAUGUCAGCAAAUGAAAUAAGGAGAGGAAUGUUCAACAUGAUCUCCACAGUCUUCAUUCUCUUUUUCUUUCAGCUGAUAACGGAUAACGGAGUUUCUAGCACCUACAAUGUCCUGCAAACACCUCCUUCCAUCAUUAAGAAAGUUGGUCAAUCUGUUUCCAGUGAGAUCCACUGUUCACACAACGUGUCAAUUUUUGAACGGAUUCUCUGGUAUAAACAAGACAAACGCAGAGCUCCACAGUUCCUUGGAUACCUAAAUCUGAACUUUCCCUACCCCGAGGAGGAUGUCAAAGGAAAAAUCAUCUUUAACGGAAAUGGCAAAAAAUAUUCAAACCUGACCAUUUCUAAUGUUUCAGUGACUGACAGUGCUGUGUAUUUCUGUGCUGCUAGUCAGCACAGUACUACAGAUCCAACUGAAGUCAAUACAAAAACCUCUCCCAAUGUCUAUGACACAGAUUAAUAUCUAAACACCUGCUGCCAGUCUGCAACUAAACCUAGCCUCAGAAAAAAGUCACUGACAGCUGCCUGGAGAACUAAUGAAACAAAAGGCGUUUACUAC